UACGUAGGGGGCAAGCGUUGUCCGGAUUUAUUGGGCGUAAAGAGCGUGUAGGCGGUUAGGUAGGUCCGUUGUGAAAACUCGAGGCUCAACCUCGAGACGCCGGUGGAAACCCCCUAACUAGAGUCCGGAAGAGGAGAGUGGAAUUCCUGGUGUAGCGGUGAAAUGCGCAGAUAUCAGGAAGAACACCCGUGGCUAAGGCGGCUCUCUAGUACGGUACUGACGCUGAGACGCGAAAGCGUGGGGAGCGAACAGG
rnacentral:rRNA from 1 species